UACAGAGGUCUCAAGCGUUGUUCGGAUUCAUUGGGCGUAAAGGGUGCGUAGGUGGCGCCAUAAGUCAGGUGUGAAAUCUCGGGGCUCAACCCCGAAACUGCAUUUGAUACUGUGGUGCUCGAGUACUGGAGAGGAGAUUGGAAUUUACGGUGUAGCAGUGAAAUGCGUAGAUAUCGUAAGGAAGACCAGUGGCGAAGGCGAAUCUCUGGACAGUUACUGACACUGAGGCACGAAGGCCAGGGGAGUAAACGGG
rnacentral:rRNA from 1 species